AACGUAGGACGCAAGCGUUAUCCGGAGUUACUGGGCGUAAAGGGCGCGUAGGCGGCGUGACAAGUCACUUGUGAAAUCUCCGGGCUUAACUCGGAACGGUCAAGUGAUACUGUCGUGCUAGAGUACAGAAGGGGCAACUGGAAUUCUCGGUGUAGCGGUGAAAUGCGUAGAUAUCGAGAGGAACACCUGCGGCGAAGGCGGGUUGCUGGGCUGAUACUGACGCUGAGGCGCGAAAGCCAGGGGAGCGAACGGG
rnacentral:rRNA from 1 species